UCUUGGGGAAGCUGGUUCUGGCAGACAAGGUUCACUGGUGAGCGCCCAAGCUGAGCGUCAUGGGUGAGGCCACUUCACAAAAGUGACCCCUUCAGAGAAGAUCUAGGGAGGGGGACUGGAGGAAAGACAAGGACAAGAAGCAGGUUUUUAAAGAGCUUCAGAUGACUGGCAGAUUUAUCAGGUUCAGUGAACACUCCAAUCUAGUGGAUCUCAGAUGAAGCAUCAUGUGGACCUCCUCCUCAAAAGCAAGCAGCAACACUUUUAAAUGUGCAAGCUUUUUCAACGAGACAGUAUGCCUUAUUCCUCAAAAUAUUUGAGGGAACCAGUGAGAAAGAUCCUGCUGUGCAGGAAACCCUGAUGCAAUGCAUUUACAAAGGAUACUCCAGAAUGAAAGAGUAUGAUUGACACGCUACAAAGCAUGCAAACAGAGUGCACAAAUGCAGACAUACUGACAGCGUUAUAAGGGCUUCAUGAGAAUCAUAUGUCACUGAAGCAAGCUUGGAAGCUGGGGAAAGCUGUACUUGUAUGAAAUAGUGAACGAAUAUGAGGAUUCCAAACACAUGAUAUGUAUAAACCAAAUUCAUGCCACAUUUUAAUUUUAAGGCAAAGUGAGUGUAAUGAUUUUUCCACCAACUUUGUUAAAACUUUCACUGAAUAUAAACAUUCUGAUUUAAAAGAUGCCAUGGAUAGCAUAAAUAAGCAGUUUGCCAUUUGUAGUGCAAACUCGUGGACUCGUCGCUCCUCAGAUACUGCUGUUGUCAGUGAAGGCAAUGCUGACAUGUGUUAUCCCAUCUGUGACCAGGUACAGCUUUGAAUAAAAUGACAAUGAAAUGAUAAUAAGUCUCACUGAAACCAGUUUCCUGUGGUCUAUGACCAUCUCCAAGCAACGUCUUGAAACCUCUCUCCAACGACUUUCCCUACGAGGAAUACUGUUAUUGGUUCUUUUAAAUUCUGCGAAUUCUGAGUAAUGUUCAGCACAAACACAAAGAUUUUUUGGAAAAUUUGCCAUAGGUAUACCAUACCAGUCAAAAGGUCAGACACACCUUCUCAUUUAAUGGUUUUCCUUUAUUUUUACUACUUUCUACAUUGUAGAUACAUACUGAAGACAUCAAACAAAUAAAGCAAGUUAUAAGGAAUUAUGUAGCAAAGAAAAC